rnacentral:tRNA from 1 species
GCGCCCGUAGCUCAAUGGAUAGAGCGUCUGGCUUCGGACCAGAAGGCUGGGGGUUCGAGUCCUCCCGGGCGCGCAA